rnacentral:rRNA from 1 species
UACAGAGGGUGCAAGCGUUAAUCGGAAUUACUGGGCGUAAAGCGUGCGUAGACGGUUAUGUAAGUCAGAUGUGAAAGCCCCGGGCUCAACCUGGGAAUUGCAUUUGAGACUGUGUAGCUAGGGUGCGGAAGAGGGAAGCGGAAUUUCCGGUGUAGCGGUGAAAUGCGUAGAUAUCGGAAGGAACAUCAGUGGCGAAAGCGGCUUCCUGGUCCAGCACCGACGUCAGGCACGAAAGCGUGGGGAGCAAACAGG